rnacentral:rRNA from 1 species
UAGGUGAAGUCAAUGAUCCCAUGCUGCCAAGAAAAGCCUCUAGCGAGCUUCGAGCGGCCCGUACCCCAAACCGACACAGGUGGUCAGGUAGAGAAUACCGAGGCGAUCGGGCGAACUGUGGUUAAGGAACUCGGCAAAUUACCCCCGUAACUUCGGGAGAAGGGGGGCCACAGACUGUCAUACCCCACGCGGGUGGCAGCAGUAGGUGGCCGCAGAGACCAGGGGGAAGCGACUGUUUACUAAAAACACAGGUCCGUGCGAAGUCGUAAGACGAUGUAUACGGACUGACGCCUGCCCGGUGCUGGAACGUUAAGGGGACCGGUUAGUCCGCAAGGGCGAAGCUGGGAACUUAAGCGCCAGUAAACGGCGGUGGUAACUAUAACCAUCCUAAGGUAGCGAAAUUCCUUGUCGGGUAAGUUCCGACCUGCACGAAUGGCGUAACGACUUCCCUACUGUCUCAACCACAGGCCCGGCGAAAUUGCACUACGAGUAAAGAUGCUCGUUACGCGCGGAAGGACGGAAAGACCCCGGGACCUUCACUAUAGCUUGACAUUGGUAUCCGAAUUUAAUUGUGUAGGAUAGGUGGGAGGCUUUGAUCCGCGGACGCCAGUCCGUCGGGGAGCCAACGUUGAAAUACCACUCUGUUGACUUUGGGUAUCUAACUUCGGACCGUGAUCCGGUUCAGGGACAGUGUCUGGUGGGUAGUUUAACUGGGGCGGUUGCCUCCUAAAAUGUAACGGAGGCGCCCAAAGGUUCCCUCAGCCUGGUUGGCAAUCAGGUGUUGAGUGCAAGUGCACAAGGGAGCUUGACUGUGAGACUGACAGGUCGAGCAGGGACGAAAGUCGGGACUAGUGAUCCGGCACCUGCGAGUGGAAGCGGUGUCGCUCAACGGAUAAAAGGUACCCCGGGGAUAACAGGCUGAUCUUUCCCAAGAGCCCAUAUCGACGGGAUGGUUUGGCACCUCGAUGUCGGCUCGUCGCAUCCUGGGGCUGGAGUAGGUCCCAAGGGUUGGGCUGUUCGCCCAUUAAAGCGGCACGCGAGCUGGGUUUAGAACGUCGUGAGACAGUUCGGUCCCUAUCCUCCGCGCGCGUAGGAGACUUGAGAAGAGCUGUCCCUAGUACGAGAGGACCGGGACGGACGAACCUCUGGUGUGCCAGUUGUCAUGCCAAUGGCACGGCUGGUUAGCUACGUUCGGAAGGGAUAACCGCUGAAAGCAUCUAAGCGGGAAGCUCGCUUCAAGAUGAGGUCUCCCACCCCUUAGAGGGUUAAGGCCCCCAGCUAGACCACUGGGUUGAUAGGCCAGAAGUGUAAGCCUGGUAACAGGUUCAGCCGACUGGUACUAAUAGGCCGAGGACUUCACCG